rfam:Triticum aestivum genome assembly, contig: Triticum_aestivum_CS42_TGACv1_scaffold_330590_4BS
AACGUACUCCCUCCGUUCCAUAAUACAUGCCUUCUAUUUGUCAAAAUAUAGAUGUAUCUAGACAUGUUUUAGUAUAUAGGUAUAUCCAUUUUUGGAUAAAUGGAAGUCAAGUAUUUUGGAACAAAGGGAGUAAAUG